GAGACAACGAGAAGACACUAUAUAAACAGAACGUAUGCCGCAUUUCAUUUGUACAUCGGACAGAAAACCGCAGCUAGAUAUUGACGCGCAGGUCUGAUCGUCGCACGACAAGAAAAAUGAAGGUGUCAACGAUGUCUGCUCUUCUUCUUGCCUUGGUCUGCUGUGCUUUGCUUGUCGAAGUCGCCACAGCUGCCGACCUGUCAAAUCUGAAGACCAAACAGGACGUACUGAACUACAUGCAGAAAGCUGAGGACAAGACAACAGCUGCCAAGGAAAUCUACGACGAGCUUGUCAACCAGGGGAAAGCGAAGCUAGCCAAUAAAUUUAAGAAGAGGGCAAAAUCUUACAUCAAGCGGGAGCGCAGGAGGAAGAAUGAUGAUGAUUAAACUUGCCGAGGCUGACCAGACCGUCUGAUGGACUCCUACGAGAGAAAUUAUAAUUGUCAAAUGUAAAGAAAUACAAAUGAUAAUGCAAAGUAACAUUGUAUCAGAUAGAAAAAUAAUGUCAUGAUUUGUACAAAAUUGUCAGUUGUGAUAUUACAUAAAAAUUGAAGUAAAAAAACGUCGCUCUAACUACAAGUUGUCUCUAGGAAUGUUGUAAAAAAAAUCUAAGUUAUGUCGCAUGCAUCUACGAGUUCUAAUCUUGGUCUAUAUCUAGUAAACGUUCAGAAGUGAUACACAUAUUAUAGCAGAGCCAUGUUUGUUAUAUCAACUGUUUCCGUGCAUGCAAAAAAUUGUAUAUGUUCUAACCAUCUUCUGAUAUUGUGUUGACUUGUAGAGAGGAUAAAAUAAACAGUUACUACUUCGUAAGCCAA